rnacentral:tRNA from 1 species
GAGAGAUGGCAGAGUGGUCGAAUGCACUGGUCUUGAAAACCAGCGUACCGAGAGGUACCGGGGGUUCGAAUCCCUCUCUCUCC